GGAAUGCUGCUUUUCAUGGGGGAAGAAUGAGAAGAACUGUACUAAAUAAUUCACCCUUUUUAAAAACAACGGUCCAGCCCUCCAAGAUGACUGUAAGGAUUCCAGGAGCCCCCCUUCCAGAAAGGGGUGGGGACAAGGUUUUAAACGUCUGGGGAGCCAAUGAUGCGAAAGGCUUGCAUUUUAGACCAUGCAGAGAAACUGCGAGUCAGAACGCACAAAACUGGGUCUUGCAGAGUGCAAGACAAACAGCCCAUGUGUACCCGUGUAUCUGGCAACCCUAGGCAAGACUGAAGCAACUUCAUCCCACUUUUUAUCCUUAAACAGGGCUUCACGAACCCCACGGAAAAAUGGCCAAAACAGCAGGGAUCCCCCACCGUCCAGCCAUUCUCCAUGGACUGAUUUUGGGCAGAGCACGAAAGACCUGGGUUUGGAAGACCCAGGUUAUGCUUGCUUUUUAAAAGGAUGAUGGGAGUUGUAGUCCAAUUCAUCUGGCUCCUGGAGGUUUCCCCUUCCUUAACAUCCCAGUCUUAAAUAUAAUGGGCAGAAUCCUGUUGCUGAUUGUGAAUCUCAUCACCAAAUCGCUGCUCAUUAACGAGAUGCUGGUUGACUUGGUAGGCGCGGUUCUAGAAGUGCAACUUAGCACCUUGGUUAACGAGGAGCAAUACUGUAUGCUGCUAAAUCUACUUCCUGCAUGCACAAAUAAAUUAGCAGUAGGAUUCCA
rnacentral:lncRNA from 1 species